UACGGAGGGUGCAAGCGUUAAUCGGAAUUACUGGGCGUAAAGCGUGCGUAGGCGGUUCGUUAAGUCAGAUGUGAAAGCCCCGGGCUCAACCUGGGAACUGCAUUUGAAACUGGCGGACUAGAGUUGAGUAGAGGGGAGUGGAAUUUCAGGUGUAGCGGUGAAAUGCGUAGAUAUCUGAAGGAACACCAGUGGCGAAGGCGACUCCCUGGACUCAAACUGACGCUGAGGUACGAAAGCGUGGGUAGCAAAC
rnacentral:rRNA from 1 species